AUACAGUAUCAGUUUUAUGAUUUAAAAAUUUUUAAGAAUCAUUGUUUCUCUUUCUCCCUUAAAAAAACAAACGUAAGUUCUGUCAUAUAGAAGUCAAGAUUAUCCAAGAAUGCUGUGAUCUGAAAAUAUAGAAAUAUCAUUCUCAAAAUGUGAUGUUGAACUCACAACAAACUCGUGGUCUCGUGCGAAAAUCUCUUUUAAUAAUAGAAUUUUGGAGAAUAGAAUCGACACGAGGUCGCUUUUAUCUUGGCAUACCUAUUGGUGCCACGUGCCAUCUCGUUUUUCAACAUUUUGUAUUUUGAUCCCUCACUUUAUAUAUACUCAUAAAAAUAGAGAUUAAUUGAUACAAUACAACAAUACAUAAAAUAACAUUAAUCCAACUAUUCUCAUAUCUCAAUAUUACAAUCUCAAUAGUUCAUUCAUUUUUCAACAUUUCUUAUAAUAGUAUAAAAGAAUACUUUGAUAAUUAUUGAAUACUUUUUUUGUAUCAAGCAAAAUUAAUAUUAUAAUAUUUUUCUAUAUAUAUAGAAUCUUGGACAAUGAUUAUUUGGGCAAUGUUAAGUUCAUUUCCUUAUUCAUUAUUAGAAAUUAUCAAAUGGAACCACGUUGAGCUUCAUUUGUAAAAAUUUGUAAAUUUUCACGAGAUUAUUUUCACGAAAAUUGCCAUCGUACCACCAACCGUGAACCCGGUUCGAUUCUCGACUAAUUUUAACAUUGAAUCAGACGAGUGACGUCAUUGUUAUCACGACUGGGAUCGUAAUUCAGCUGGUCGACUUUCUCGGAAAACGCGUUGAUCGUUUCCACGAUGAGAAGUUUGGAUGAUAAACGAAAUUCCAACGAUGAACCAACCAAGAAAAAUGAUAAACAAUGAAGGUUCAAAUGAUUCGACUGAAUAUAUGGUUUUUUACAACUUACAGGAAUUAGUGAUAAGAAUUGUGAUAAGAAAGUGAAUAUACGUCGCAAGAAUGAUUUCAAAUUAUUCAAAUAUUGCUUAAAUUUUGCAAAUUUAAAUAUUAAUUCUUAUAAGAAUUAAGUUUACAAAACAAACAAACAAAAUAUAUAAUUCAUUUCAAUGACAACUUAUACAUUGUGAGAAUCAUUUGAACUAUAAAAUCAUUCGCACAAAGACUACAGAGAUUAAAAAGAGGAAGACAAUAUAUAAUAAACACAAAGUAUAAAAAUACAGUAAAUUGUUUAUAAUUUAAAAAUAAGCUUCAACCAUUUCAUUCCAUUUAUUUUUUAUACAUCAACUUUUUCUUUUGACAUUUAAAAUCCACAUUAUAGAUUAAUAUCCUGUAUUGUAAUUUUAUUAGUGAAAAGCUACAUUUAAAAAUUUUAAAACGGAAUGCAAAGUGAUACUACACGAAAAAGUAAUAUUAUCCUGAUUCUCAAGGAUAUGUAGAUCGAGUUGGAUCCUUCGAAAGAGGUAACUCUCCGAGGGAAAGCUCGGGUGAGGGCGAGUGGAGGCGCGCUUGUCGCGAUCCUCGGAACCCAGCCAACAACAGGCCGUGGCUUGUACAAGUGUAUUUAGGGUUACGGCGCGUCGCGGCUCCACUGUGGAAAACCAGAGACACCUGACGGCGUGUCCGAUGUUGAACCAUCCGCGAAUUAAUUAAUGCCAAAUCCUUUUUCUUUUUUUUUUUUUUUUUUCCGUUGCUUUCUUUAAGAAAAGUAAAGAAAAAGAUACGUACAUAUAAUUGGUAAUCCUUGGAAUUAUUCGGUUACGUUGAAUAUUCAAUCCUUUAGGGAUAUUUUUAUAGAGAUAUUGAUCUUCGUAUUUUAUAUUCAUAGGUUAAUGAAAUUUAAGAAGAUGGAAUAUUAAAAAGUUGAAUGAGUCCUAACUUAAUAACAAAGAAUAUAAUAAUAUGAAUUAUAAUGAAUUAAAGAUAAAAUAAAGUUGAGCACUAUUUUCAAAAUAAGAUAUAUAUCUAUAAGAUUCAAUUUCUAAGAAAUUUUAUACGUGACAAUUGGCUUUAUUAUAUUAAUAAGAAUACAAUCACGAGGAAGAUUAAGAAAGAGAGGAAGAAGGAAGUUGGAACAACUUGUUGAACAAAGAUAGUCGCACUUUCACUGGAGGAAACGUAAUCUAAAUAGGAUCUGCCUUUGACAGACGGAUAGAAAGAGACUCAAGACGAUUAUCUCUGGAAGGAGAAAGCGAUGAUCCCGUAAAAAUAGGUUUUACACGGUUCAAAGAAGAGCUGACUUCAUCGAUAUUGGUCAAUGAGCCGGUUAAACAAAAUCCUAAAAGAUGUUCUGAUCUAAAAUUUUAAAGAUGGCAAUUCAUUUCAGAAUAUAAAACUCUUGCGUUAUUUUUCAUUAAUGGAGGAGCAUGUUGAAGAAGCAAAGUUAUUUUGGACAAUCAUUAUUGGCAUUGUGCUUCGUUCCAAAAAAUACUUUUGUCGACAAAACUUAUACAAAUACAUUUAAAAAUUACACAGUGCAUCCAUUUGCGAAAAACAUUUUUAAGAAUUAUAUAUAUAUAGUGUCCAUUAACCUAGUGUUCCUUUGCAAAAAAUAUUUUCCAAAUGUCCCGCCCCUCCAUAAAAUUGAAGAGCAAUUCUCGAGAGAUCAACUGUGAAAUAUAUUCACCUCGUCUCAACUAGAGUGUAGCACGACAUCGAAGAAACGCAAUGGUUAAACGAUACAACGAACCGUUUAAAAAUACAUCACGCGGCCAGUCCGCAACGACACGUGGCAAUGAACAAUUUUCCCGUACCCUCUCGAUCGAAGGGUCGUUCACACCUGCAAAUUUCCCUGAUGACGAGACGUUACGUGGAUAUACAUAUGUAUAUGUUGCAGAAGAGAAUGCGCCGCGCCUAGUCACGUAUCCGAUCAGACGAGAAUGGAAUCGGAUGAUGAGCUCGAGCAAGGUUCCGAGACGUUCAAAAUUGGAUGAUUCGUAGGCGUGGACCUAGAAACCCAACGUUAUAUUUCCAUCCAACGUUGGACGAUCCACUCUGUGGAGGCCAUCGAACGUGUCAUCGCCUUUGAGGAGGAUAUAGUUUGUAAGAUCCAUCGGCCCUGUAUAAAUGAAUUUGGCCUUGAAGAAGAAUUUAUGGAGAAUUUGGAAAACUUUGAUUGACGGAAUAUUUACUCAAGGUAUUAGAAUUUAUCUGAAAAAUGUUGAAAUUUUGAAUUUGAAGAGGAUAUAGUUUAUGAAAUUAGGUUAUGUAUGAUUCUUGAAGAAGAAUUUAUUGGUGGAACGUUGAAUAAUGAAUUAGAUUUAGGAGUUUUGGAUUAAAGUUUUAAUAAUUCAGAAAUAGAAUUUUUUUCAAUUGGAUUCAUUUCAUUUUAUAUUUAAUAUUAAAAGAAGAUCAUUCUCAAUAUCUACAAAAACUUGGUUUUGUAUUAUCUAACGUAAUAUAGAAAUGGUUCAUUCUAAUGAACGAAAAUUUCAUCGUUGUCUAACGUCCAAUAUUUGCAAUAUUUUUUCGCACUAGCAACAAGAAUCGACGAACGAACGAUUCUAAGCGAGACUUCUUCCAAGAGCGUAGGCGUGCGAGUAUAAAGGAACGUGGCCAACACAAGUUUUAUAUUUUUAUACAAAAAUUGUCGUCAGCUUAAGCUACUCCCUAUAUAUCACCACGUCUGUGACGUAAAUUAAUGAAAAUGGAAAAUAAUAGAAGAGGAAUUGACGUAAAUCAUCUAUUCUAGUGAAAAUUAAAAAUGAAAGCAUUAAUUUUGAAGAAAUUAAAAUAUAGACAAAAAAUGAACGAUCU